rnacentral:rRNA from 17 species
CUGGAGCAGGUCCCAAGGGUAUGGCUGUUCGCCAUUUAAAGAGGUACGUGAGCUGGGUUUAGAACGUCGUGAGACAGUUCGGUCCCUAUCUUCCGUGGGCGCUGCAAGAUUGAGAGAGCCUGCUCCUAGUACGAGAGGACCGGAGUGGACGCACCUCUGGUGUAUCGGUUGUCACGCCAGUGGCAUUGCCGAGUAGCUAAGUGCGGAAGAGAUAACCGCUGAAAGCAUCUAAGCGGGAAGCCCCUUCCAAGAUGAGAUCUCCCUGGACCCUUGAGGUCCCUGAAGAGCCGUUCAAGACCAGGACGUUGAUAGGU